rnacentral:rRNA from 1 species
GAUGAACGCUGGCGGCGUGCCUAAUACAUGCAAGUCGAGCGAACGGACGAGAAGCUUGCUUCUCUGAUGUUAGCGGCGGACGGGUGAGUAACACGUGGAUAACCUACCUAUAAGACUGGGAUAACUUCGGGAAACCGGAGCUAAUACUGGAUAAUAUUUUGAACCGCAUGGUUCAAAAGUGAAAGACGGUCUUGCUGUCACUUAUAGAUGGAUCCGCGCUGCAUUAGCUAGUUGGUAAGGUAACGGCUUACCAAGGCAACGAUGCAUAGCCGACCUGAGAGGGUGAUCGGCCACACUGGAACUGAGACACGGUCCAGACUCCUACGGGAGGCAGCAGUAGGGAAUCUUCCGCAAUGGGCGAAAGCCUGACGGAGCAACGCCGCGUGAGUGAUGAAGGUCUUCGGAUCGUAAAGCUCUGUUAUUAGGGAAGAACAUAUGUGUAAGUAACUGUGCACAUCUUGACGGUACCUAAUCAGAAAGCCACGGCUAACUACGUG